GGGGUUGUAGCUUAGUGGUAGAGCGCUUGCCUCACAUGCAUGAGGCACAUACUGGGUUCAAUCCUC
rnacentral:tRNA from 1 species